GUUUAGAUUUGAUUAUAUUCCAUUAGCAUUAGACAGUCUGUCCAACCCCCUUCCUUAUCACUUGGCUUGUAUAUACUAUGCAUUCCUCAGCUCUAGGAAAGUGGUUAGCUUACAGAUAGAAAUCUAGUGUCUUUUUGUUAACUUGAAAUAACAAAAUGGAGUCUGGUCUGUUCAGAGUGACUCAGAAUAUACACUUUUGGUUUCUAUCAUAGCACAAAAUGUCUGCCGAUAUAAAUACUCUGACAAUUGUUUAGUUUGAGGUACAACCCUAGGGGAAAAUACAACUUAUUUCCCAAUGAGAUCCUGUUCAGUACAGCACCAAGGUUAGGUUGUUACUUCCCCCAGCAGCUUCAGAUUCAGUCAGACGCUGAAUCUCUGCUCUCUGCUCUCUCUCAUGCCUUGACCAAAAUCCAUGCCCAAGUGUUUUCUUCUAUUCCAGAUCCUGAGUCGAAUACAGGUACACACAAGUUGCUCCCUGGUGACUGGGUUAUGGUCAAGAAAUUCCUCAGGAAACACACCCUUGAACCAAGGUUUGAUGGUCCUUACCAAGUGCUGCUGACUACAGCUACCUCAGUAAAAUUAGCAGGGAAGAGUUCCUGGAUACACGCCUCACACUGCAAGAAAGUGCCUGCUCCAAAAGAAGUUGCCCCUGCUGAGCCAUGAAUUUUCUGUGUUCCUUGUGUUUUCUCUUGCUACUAAACUUUAUAGGGCCCCAGCAAGUGGCUAUAACCAAAGAUAACCAUGUUUGCACUUUUUGGUACAAUUCCUCAAACACAGAUGUAGUUACCUUUUCUUUUGAUUAUUGUGAUAUUGUUACUUGCACCUUCCCACAGACACAAUAUGCUGCUAUAUACAAGGACAUACCCAGUAAGAAGGACCCAUACAUUUGUGUAACAGGAGGGUCACCUCUUGGAAGGCGGCUGGGUGGAAUACAGGUAGAUCAUGGGGCUAUAAACCCCAGAGUGCCCUAGACAGAAUUGACAAAGACGGGAAGCCCCUACUCUCCAGAAUGACCUUAAGUAAACCUAUUGGGUCAACCCCCAUCAAACUCACUCUGAACAUAGAGCAUCCCAGUCCGAGGGAUGCAGGGGAAUAUGUAAUGGGUAUGUACUGGAGGGGCGGUGGCUCAUACAACAAGUUGGGGAAAUUCUACCUGCAAGACAUGCUCACCUCACCUGACUGGGUAGGAACUACACACGACUGUCAACCCACUUAAGCCACAUAUUAGGACUCUAUAUGAUAUAUGAUACGGUGGCUAUUGCUAAUCCUACCUUUGAAGACACCAUGGCAGUGGAAACUGGGUUCUCAGACACUAACUUAUGGCUGGAAUGGAUGAGAUAUAAUGCUAACUCACACAAUAAGACUAACUUAUGUAUGUGGGGGUGCUAGGCCCCACCUGGGUACGUUGCCUUUAAAUCUACCUCCCGAUGUUGAACUAUGUGUCUUGAGUCUUUAUGCACAAUCCACCACUAACUCUUCAACAUGUGAGUCAUGGAAAAAGGUCUACCCAAUCAUCCAGGGACACGUGAGACCACCUGAUGGAGUCACGGUAUACCCAGGUAAUUACACUUGUUAUUCAAUACCUGAGAACACGGGUACAUUCAUGGGCAAAUUCCCAUCUGGUUACUGUUCCACUUACCAUAAUCCACCCACGGCAUUGUUAAUGAAUCAUGUAAAGACAGUCGGGGACAUUUAUUGGCUGUGUGGUGAUAAGCAACUGAGAUCCCAACUAACGGGGCUAUGGUGGGGAGAAUGUACACUAACUAAAGCCAUAAUGCCUAUCCACAUUAUUCCGGAUGGCCAUCACAAUGUGUUAGAUCCCACGCACACACACCCCAGAGUCAAAAGGGAAGCCCCAAUCUGUGGUAGCUUCGAUCCACAUGUUUAUAUUGAUGCCAUUGGUGUGCCAAGGGGGGUGCCCAAUGAAUUUAAAGCAAGGGAUGAAGUGGCAGCCGGGUUUGAAUCUUUGAUUCCAAUGAUUACAGCUAAUAAGAAUGUUAAUUAAGUUAAUUAUAUCUAUUAUAAUCAGCAGCGGUUUGUUAAUUAUACUAGAGAUGCCCUACAGGGCCUAGCAGAACAGCUACAAGCUGCCACCCAAAUGACAUUUCAAAAUAGAAUGGCUCUGGAUAUGAUCUUAGCAGAGAAGGGGGGCUUAUGUGAAAUCCUCCCCGAGACAAUGACAUGCUGUACAUUUAUUCCAGAUAACACUGGGCCCAAUGGUAAAGUGACUAUGGCAAUAGAGAAAUUAGACAGCCUUUCAGAUGAACUAAAAAAGAACUCAGGGGUCACUGACACAUGGGACAGAUGGUUUGGAUGGAUGAAUGGUUGGCAGAGAACCCUAUUCCAGGUUGGGACAGCAGUCCUCAUAAUGAUUAUCAUCUUUCUAUUCUUAACCUGUUGUGUACUUCCUUUCAUACAAAAGUACUUACAGAAGACAGUAGGGAAGACUAUGGACAACGUAACCCCUACUUUCCUACACCAGGACGUCACUGACCUAGAAUGUGACACACCACAUACACCCCUCCAAUCCCAUCAAUUCAGACAGACAACUGCAUUUUUGUAGGGAUAGCAUAGGGAAAGCGUCUGUCUCUACAGGCAAGUCUCACGUGCGGAUAUGUGGUGGACUAGCCGCCGCGGGUUACCCACGAGUGAAGUGUUCGAUGCUUGUUAAGACAGAUGAGCUGCAGGCAGCUAGGGACAUGUUAGGGACAGUAGCAGUUGUUCUAGUAAAUAGUCAUUUUAAGUGGGGACUGUUGUGGAAAUUAGAUAUUGACAUAUUUUUUAGUUAGUAAAAUGCCUAUUUACUCAUUUAACUGAAAUCAGUGUAUAAGCUAUUCACGCAUAUUUAGACAAAAUGGCCACUAGAAGCUUCUAACCCCUCCCUCCUUAUAACACCGACUAACUACCUUGUGCUACAAGAUGGCGCUGAGAUCUGGAGGAGACCCUCAUGGUCUCAGUGACAUCACCCUUAGUAGGCAGAGCAUUAGGGAAACCACUUAACACCUAACCAAUUAUUGAUGUAUUAUUCCAUGUUAUCUCUGACAAUGCUUAUGAUGUAAUUUUGCUUUAAAAGGGACCUGCCGUCCCAUCUGAAAAAACAUUCCUCAAGUUAUUCAUCAACCUGAAACCUGUGUCUGGUGUGAAUUACUUCAGGGAGCGUGCAUGCAUUGUUUCCUAAUUUGGCCAGGGGCAGAUACACAGAGAAUAAUCAAUUAAUUGAAUUGAUUUCCACUUCAAUUAUUAUAUAUCUGGAUUAAAAAAAAUUAAACAGAAAUGAG
rnacentral:lncRNA from 1 species